rnacentral:rRNA from 1 species
AGCGAACGCUGGCGGCAGGCUUAACACAUGCAAGUCGAGCGGGCAUCUUCGGAUGUCAGCGGCAGACGGGUGAGUAACACGUGGGAACGUACCCUUCGGUUCGGAACAACUCUGGGAAACUGGAGCUAAUACCGGAUACGCCCUUAUGGAGAAAGGUUUACUGCCGAAGGAUCGGCCCGCGUCUGAUUAGCUAGUUGGUGGGGUAACGGCCUACCAAGGCGACGAUCAGUAGCUGGUCUGAGAGGAUGAUCAGCCACACUGGGACUGAGACACGGCCCAGACUCCUACGGGAGGCAGCAGUGGGGAAUAUUGGACAAUGGGCGCAAGCCUGAUCCAGCCAUGCCGCGUGAGUGAUGAAGGCCUUAGGGUUGUAAAGCUCUUUUGUCCGGGACGAUAAUGACGGUACCGGAAGAAUAAGCCCCGGCUAACUUCGUG